rnacentral:rRNA from 1 species
AUUGAACGCUGGCGGCAGGCCUAACACAUGCAAGUCGAACGGGUGGCGGACGGGUGAGUAAUAUCUGGGAACCUGCCAGCUGGAGGUGGAUAACUGCUGGAAACGGUAGCUAAUACCGCGUAUCAUCGGAUGUGCCCAGAUGGGAUUAGCUUGUCGGUUAGGUAACGGCUCACCUAGGCGACGAUCCCUAGCUGGUCUGAGAGGAUGACCAGCAACACUGGAACUGAGACACGGCCCAGACUCCUACGGGAGGCAGCAUGGGGGAAUAUUGCACAAUGGGCGAAAGCCUGAUGCAGCCAUGCCGCGUGUAUGAAGAAGGCCUUCGGGUUGUAAAGUACUUUCAGCGGGGAGGCGUUACCCGAAGAAGAAGCACCGGCUAACUCCGUGCCAGCAGCCGCGGUAAUAC